rnacentral:rRNA from 1 species
CGUGCAAAUCGAUAUGAUUUGAUUAUUUAAUUUUUACUUUAUAGGUUUGUUGGUUAUUGUUUAUUAUUAAAUCAUUAUUUUUGUUGGUGUAUUUGUUAGGGAUUAAAUUGAUUUGGUUAUAAUGGAUUUUUACUGUGAAGGUUUAUUUGAAAUAAUUUUAUUUAUUUAAUAAGUUGAAUUUAAUUUUUGUACCUUGUGUAUCAGGAUUAAUUAAUUGUUGAUUAAUUAUUUAAUGUUCUCGAUUUCUUUAGAGUUAAUGGAAUAUUUUAUUUAUUGUCUUAUAAAUAUUAAAAAUUUUUUGUUGGUAGUGAAAUGCUAUUCGUUAAUGAAGGUAUCUAGUUUUCUAAGAAAUGAAUUUAAUUUACAUAAUUUCUUUAAUUUAAUUUUUUUUUUUAUGGAUUUAAGUUAUUAUGAAUUAUAAAGGGGAUAAUCUCUUUAUAAAAAUUUUAUAAGGUGAUUUUGUUAUAAAUUUUUAUGGAUUUAAUAAUGAUUAUUAUUAUAAGUAUUUUAAAAUUUUAAUUUUAUAGGAUGUGAUUUUUAGUCCUUUAAUUAUUUAUUAGGAUUUUUUAUAUAAUUUUUUUUUAAGUUUUAUAAUGGUUGAAUUAGUAUAAAAUUUUUUAAGGUAUUUUUGUUUGUAAAGUAUUUUUAAGGAAUUAGGCAAGAAUUUAUUCGCCUGUUUAACAAAAACAUCUUUUCUUGUAUAUGAAUAUGAAAUAUAGCCUGCCCAAUGAGGGGUUGAAUGGCCGCGGUAUUUUGACCGUGCAAAGGUAGCAUAAUCAUUAGUCUUUUAAUUGAAGGCUGGAAUGAAUGGCUGGACGAGAUAAAUACUGUCUUGGAAUUAAUUAAUUAGAAUUUAACUUUUGAGUUAAAAGGCUUAAAUUUACUUUUGGGACGAGAAGACCCUAUAGAGUUUAUAUAAAUUUUUGUUUCUAGUUGAGUUUGUGGAUAAUUUGGGUAUAAAAAUUUAUUUGGUUGGGGUGACAAUAAGAUAUUUAAAACUCUUUUAUUUUAUUUAGUUAUAGAUUUAUAUAUUAUUGAUCCAUUAUUAAUGAUUAAAAGACUAAAUUACCUUAGGGAUAACAGCGUAAUCUUUUUUGAGAGUUCAUAUCGACAAAGGGGAUUGCGACCUCGAUGUUGGAUUAAGAUAAUAUUUUGGUGUAGAAGCUAAAAUUUUAGGUCUGUUCGACCUUUAAAUUCUUACAUGAUCUGAGUUCAAACCGGCGUGAGCCAGGUUGGUUUCUAUCUAAUAUAAAGUUUGAUGUUUUAGUACGAAAGGACCAGACAUUAGAAAUAAUUUUUUUUAUUCUGAUUAUUAUUAACUGUUUUGGCAGAAAAGUGCAACGGAUUUAGAAUUUGUAAAUGUAAUUAUGAAAUUAC